rnacentral:rRNA from 1 species
UACGGAGGGUGCGAGCGUUAAUCGGAAUUACUGGGCGUAAAGCGUGCGCAGGCGGUUCGUUGUGUCCGAUGUGAAAGCCCCGGGCUCAACCUGGGAAUGGCAUUGGAAACUGGCGAGCUAGAGUGUGGCAGAGGGGGGUGGAAUUCCGCGUGUAGCAGUGAAAUGCGUAGAGAUGCGGAGGAACACCGAUGGCGAAGGCAGCCCCCUGGGCUGACACUGACGCUCAGGCACGAAAGCGUGGGGAGCAAACAGG